rnacentral:rRNA from 1 species
GCCAGACUCCUACGGGAGGCAGCAGUGAGGAAUAUUGGUCAAUGGGCGGGAGCCUGAACCAGCCAAGUCGCGUGAGGGAAGACGGUCCUAUGGAUUGUAAACCUCUUUUGUCGGGGAGCAGAGAGGCCACGUGUGGUCAAAAGCGAGAGUACCCGAAGAAAAAGCAUCGGCUAACUCCGUGCCAGCAGCCGCGGUAAUACGGAGGAUGCGAGCGUUAUCCGGAUUUAUUGGGUUUAAAGGGUGCGUAGGCGGGACGGUAAGUCAGCGGUAAAAAGGGGGAGCUAAACGCCGGCGAGCCGUUGAAACUGCCGUUCUUGGGUGAGCGAGAAGUAUGCGGAAUGCGUGGUGUAGCGGUGAAAUGCAUAGAUAUCACGCAGAACUCCGAUUGCGAAGGCAGCAUACCGGCGCCCGACUGACGCUGAGGCACGAAAGCGUAGGGAUCGAACAGGAUUAGAUACCCCAGUA